UACGUAGGGACCAAGCGUUGUUCGGAAUUACUGGGCGUAAAGCGCGCGCAGGCGGCCUUUUAAGUCUGGCGGUGAAAUGCCGGGGCUCAACCCCGUUGCAUGCCGCGGAUACUGGGAGGCUGGAGACGAGUAGAGGCAAGCGGAAUUCCGGGUGUAGCGGUGGAAUGCGUAGAGAUCCGGAAGAACACCGGAGGCGAAGGUGGCUUGCUGGGCUUGGUCUGACGCUGAGGCGCGAAAGCGUGGGGAGCGAACAGG
rnacentral:rRNA from 1 species